UACAGAGGUCUCAAGCGUUGUUCGGAUUCAUUGGGCGUAAAGGGUGCGUAGGCGGCGUGGUAAGUCGGAUGUGAAAUCUCGGAGCUUAACUCCGAAACUGCAUUCGAUACUGCCGUGCUUGAGGACUGGAGAGGAGACUGAAAUUUACGGUGUAGCGGUGAAAUGCGUAGAUAUCGUAAGGAAGACCAGUGGCGAAGGCGGGUCUCUGGACAGUUCCUGACGCUGAGGCACGAAGGCCAGGGGAGCAAACGGG
rnacentral:rRNA from 1 species